rnacentral:rRNA from 1 species
GCAGCCGCCGCGGUAAUACGAAGGGGGCUAGCGUUGUUCGGAAUCACUGGGCGUAAAGCGCACGUAGGCGGACACUUAAGUCAGAGGUGAAAUCCCAAGGCUCAACCUUGGAACUGCCUUUGAUACUGGGUGUCUUGAGUUCGGGAGAGGUGAGUGGAACUGCGAGUGUAGAGGUGAAAUUUGUAGAUAUUCGCAAGAACACCAGUGGCGAAGGCGGCUCACUGGCCCGAUACUGACGCUGAGGUGCGAAAGCGUGGGGAGCAAACAGGAUUAGAUACCCCUGUAGUCCCUGUCUCUUAUAA